ACGAGACCUUCGGGUCUAGUGGCGCACGGGUGCGUAACGCGUGGGAAUCUGCCCUUGGGUUCGGAAUAACAGUGAGAAAUUACUGCUAAUACCGGAUGAUGUCUUCGGACCAAAGAUUUAUCGCCCAGGGAUGAGCCCGCGUAGGAUUAGCUAGUUGGUGGGGUAAUGGCCUACCAUGGCGACGAUCCUUAGCUGGUCUGAGAGGAUGAUCAACCACACUGGGACUGAGACACGGCCCAGACUCCUACGGGAGGCAGCAGUGGGGAAUAUUGGACAAUGGGCGCAAGCCUGAUCCAGCACUGCCGCGUGAGUGAUGAAGGCCUUAGGGUUGUAAAGCUCUUUUACCCGGGAUGAUAAUGACAGUACCGGGAGAAUAAG
rnacentral:rRNA from 1 species